rnacentral:misc_RNA from 1 species
GAUGAAGAACGCAGCGAAAUGCGAUAAGUAGUGUGAAUUGCAGAAUUUAGUGAAUCAUCGAAUCUUUGAACGCACAUUGCGCCCUUUGGUAUUCCUUAGGGCAUGCCUGUUCGAGCGUCAUCUACACCCUCAAGCACAGCUUGGUGAUGGGCGCCUGUCCCGCCCCCCACGGGGGCGCGGACUCGCCUCAAAUGCAUUGGCGGCCGGCGACCUGGCUUCGAGCGCAGCAGAAACGCGUACUCGGGGACCGGGCGCCCGCUCCCAGAAGCCAACCCACCCAGUUUGACCUCGGAUCAGGUAGGGAUACCCGCUGAACUUAAGCAUAUCCAUAAGCGGAGGA